rnacentral:rRNA from 1 species
CGUCACACUAUCAUUAACUGAAUCCAUAGGUUAAUGAGGCGAACCGGGGGAACUGAAACAUCUAAGUACCCCGAGGAAAAGAAAUCAACCGAGAUUCCCCCAGUAGCGGCGAGCGAACGGGGAGGAGCCCAGAGCCUGAAUCAGUGUGUGUGUUAGUGGAAGCGUCUGGAAAGGCGCGCGAUACAGGGUGACAGCCCCGUACACAAAAAUGCACAUGCUGUGAGCUCGAUGAGUAGGGCGGGACACGUGGUAUCCUGUCUGAAUAUGGGGGGACCAUCCUCCAAGGCUAAAUACUCCUGACUGACCGAUAGUGAACCAGUACCGUGAGGGAAAGGCGAAAAGAACCCCGGCGAGGGGAGUGAAAAAGAACCUGAAACCGUGUACGUACAAGCAGUGGGAGCCUCUUUAUGGGGUGACUGCGUACCUUUUGUAUAAUGGGUCAGCGACUUAUAUUCUGUAGCAAGGUUAACCGAAUAGGGGAGCCGAAGGGAAACCGAGUCUUAACUGGGCGUUAAGUUGCAGGGUAUAGACCCGAAACCCGGUGAUCUAGCCAUGGGCAGGUUGAAGGUUGGGUAACACUAACUGGAGGACCGAACCGACUAAUGUUGAAAAAUUAGCGGAUGACUUGUGGCUGGGGGUGAAAGGCCAAUCAAACCGGGAGAUAGCUGGUUCUCCCCGAAAGCUAUUUAGGUAGCGCCUCGUGAAUUCAUCUCCGGGGGUAGAGCACUGUUUCGGCAAGGGGGUCAUCCCGACUUACCAACCCGAUGCAAACUGCGAAUACCGGAGAAUGUUAUCACGGGAGACACACGGCG